AUUGAACGCUGGCGGCAGGCCUAACACAUGCAAGUCGAACGCGUGGCGCACGGGUGAGUAAUGUCUGGGAAACUGCCCGAUGGGGGGGGAGAACUAUUGGAAAAGGUAGAUCAUAUCGCGUACCAUCGGAUGUGCCCAGAUGGGAUUAGCUGGUAGGUGUGGGAACGGCGCACCUAGGCGACGCUCCCUAGCUGGGCUGGGAGGAUGACCAGCCACACUGGAACGGAGACACGGUCCAGACUCCUACGGGAGGCAGCAGUGGGGAAUAUUGCACAAUGGGCGCAAGCCUGAUGCAGCCAUGCCGCGUGUAUGAAGAAGGCCUUCGGGUUGUAAAGUACUUGCAGCGUGGAGGCGUUACCCGCAGAAGAAGCACCGGCUAACUCCGUGCCAGCAGCCGCGGUAAUAC
rnacentral:rRNA from 1 species